GCCGGGCGUGGUGGCGGGCGCCUGUAGUCCCAGCUACUCGGGAGGCUGAGGCAGGAGAAUGGCGUGAACCUGGGAAGUGGGGAGCUUGCAGUGAGCCGAGAUCAUGCCACUGCACUCCAGCCUGGGCGACAGUGCGAGACUCCAUCUCAAAAAAAAAAAAAAAAGAAAGAAAGAAACUGUGGUUUCUGGGCUGGGCGUGGUGCUCCAGGCUGGAGUGCAAUGACACAAUCUUGGCUCACUGCAACCUCUGCCUCCUGGGUUCAAGCGAUUCUCCUGCCUCAG
rnacentral:SRP_RNA from 2 species